AACAUGUUUCACUUGCUCAGAGUUCUAGAUCCGAUUUUGAAUAUAAAUGGUUUGGGUCUUGAAUCUUUUCUUACAGUCAUUCAUUCCUCAGAGUGUCAUCUAGGACUGGAAAAAGUUGGGAUGACCCAAGACAAGUUGACAUACUGAGUGGCUGCUGUGUGCUAUGAGAUUAGGGACUAAGGGAGACUAAAUGACACUGGCGUGCUGCUGGUCUUACCCAUCCAACAGUCACUCUGGGUAGAAUGUAAUGGGGACUUGAAUAGAAGCAGAGGCCAAAGAGGAAGGUGGUAUUUGAACUCGUCUCAAAGAAUAGGCUUUUGCUAAGUAAAGUAGGAGGAGAUAGUCUCCUGUUGGACUAUGGAAUUGAGGGUGUGCUGAUCAGCUUGCCUGCCCAGAUUAUAAGGCAAGCAUUAGGCGGACGGUAGGUGGUUAUUAGAAGGUUCUGAGUGCUGUGCUAUGACAGAGCACAGGCUUCUGCUACUCUGUAGGCAAUAAGGAACCACUUGGCUUUGACUACAGGGUGUUACUCUGAUGAUGGAACAUCAGACAGUAGGCUAAGUGAGAGGAAUGAGAAAUUAAACCAGGAUAGCUCGAGUGACAAAUUCAAAGAGAGGCAGUGUGGCAGAUGCCAUGAGAUGGGUGCCAAGAGUUCCCCUUCAAGAAUAAUGGCCUUACUAUUCAAGUUACUGGGAAGGCUGCCAGCAAAGAUCCCUCAGCUGUCGACUCCCUUCACCCCAGGCCACGCCUCGGUCCUCCCAGGGUUUUGCGGGAUGAUUGAUUACUGUUUGGGGUAUGGAGGACUCUGUCUUUCAUCACAACCCAGGACAGCUCUAGGGGUCAUCCCAGCUAUAAAACUCAAGACUCUGCCUGUUGCCCAUGACCUUUCUUUGCCAGAUCUUGUCCCCUUUCUCCAUGACACACUUCACUGGGAACAUUUCUUUUCUUUUCUUUUCUUUUCUUUUUUUUUUUUUUUUGGUUUUUGAGACAGGGUUUCUCUGUGUAGCCCUGGCUGUCCUGGAACUCCCUUUGUAGACCAGGCUGGCCUCAAACUCAGAAAUUCACUUGCCUCUGCCUCCCGCAUUUCUAAGAAAACCUCUACACAAGUGUCUGCCUAGGAGACAAUGUCUUGAGAAACCCCUGUACCAUAGAAACUGAAGCCCUGGGAUGCAGCAAGUGAUGGACGCUUAAACAGUGAUGGUUGGUGCUCCUCCUCAGCACCUAGAAUGAUGCUCAUCACAACCAGCCAGAUCUCUCACCAGGACAACUGCAACAGGCAAUAGUUUCUCUAACGCACCCUUCCAGUCCAUAGACGGACCAGGAGGAUUUGUCUUUCAAACACCCCCAUUAUGUACAGAGAAAAUGAAAAAUCCGAGAGGCUAAGAAUCUUCUACCUAAUCUGGUCCCCAGAUAUCCUUCAGUCUCUUCAUUCUUCGUGCCUGCUAGGUUCCAGUUAGGCUCUUCUGGCAGGGCUAGAACUCGCUCAGCACCCGCUUGCUUAAUGCUCCAGAUAUUCUCAUGGAUGCUGCUUUCAUGCCAUGCAGCCCUCUCUGCCUCAAGCUAUCCCAUUUGAAACAGCAAGCCCGUCAUUAUUCUUUAAAUGUACUUCAUUUCCUCUCCAAAAAUGCUCGUUUCAAGUCGAUAAUGAUUUGUCAUUCGCCUUUGUGUUUGUGUGUUGUCAGUGUCUCUCUUUGGAACAAAAGGUCAUAAGUGACAGAACCUUGUGAACCCGUUAGCUUUCAUGUCCCUGGUCAGGCACACGGUGAGUCCAUGAGUUAGUGAAAGGCCGGGGCGUAGAAAGAGUGUGUUUUCAGUAGAGAAUGAGAUUCCAACUUUGAAUGUGUUGAGUGUAAACAGUCUUUACAGCAGUCAGAGCUGAUGUUUACAAGACAGUUACCAGUUCAGUUUCCUUGGUAAAGAUAGAGAGGUGUAAAGGUCCUUAGAGUGAGUGAACUAUGGACUAUGUAGAGACAGUGCCUCCUAACUGCCAUUGCUGGCUUGACCUUUUGAAGAGCUUUUUGAAUUUAAAAAAAAAAAAAAAAGGAUAGUAUUCUUUCAAUAAAACAAAAGCCAGUAUGGGCAGGAUUAAUAAAAGGAAAAUUAAUGACUAAUCAAAAAAAAUGGAUGAAAGUUGGGUGGCAGAGACACAUGCCUCUAAUCCCAGCACGUGGGAUGCAGAGGCAGUUGGAUCUCUUGAGUUUGAGGCCAGCCUGAUCUACAGAGUGAGUUCCAAGAUAGCUAAUGCUACACAGAAAAAUACCCUGUCUUGAACAACAACAACAAAAACCAAAAAUCAAAAGAACAUAAAACAACAACGGCCAAAGGCAGAAGGAGAGAAGGAGCAGGAAGGACUCACUGUCCCGUCUAACUGCCGUCUGGACGGUCAGGCUGGACCAUCUCCAAGGAGCCAAAUGAUGACCCCACACUUCAGCUCUUCACUCCUCUCCUCUGCUCUUCUCUGCUCUGAGCUGACUAAAUUAUGGGAAGACUCUUUCCAGAGGAACCCUACGACAGGUGGCUCACCAGGAAAUGUUGGAAUUUCUUUAUCCACACACCUAGUGCCUCUUACUUUGGGCACCAUUGUUUCUGAUCAAGGGAUAGUUUUCCCCAGAUGAUCAAUGGUCUUUCCAAUUUCCCCAGUGAUUUCACCGUUGUGGCUUGGAAUUAGCCAUGGCCUGAGUAUUUACGCUAUGGAAAUUGGUCAGUGCUACAAAUAAAGGAUAUCUUGCCUUGGAGACCUUGUGUCCUGGCACAUCACUUACUGGUCACAUGACCACUCUGAAGGUGGGGUAGUUGUGGUGGUUUGAAUGAGAACAGCUUGCAGUGUAAGUGGGGUCUCUCCCUCUGUCUUACUUACUGUCAGGCAGAUCGCAUCGACAAAGUCAAUGAAUUUGUUGAAUACUAAAUUUAGAAGUCUAAUGAUGACACCAUGUUUUUAUCCUUUGUGCUUCCACAUGAACGUUAUCAUUUCUUCCUUUUGUCACAUAUGAAGGUGUUGCCUGUGCCCAUCACAGUUUCUUGUGGUUGGACCCUGACCUUCCCUAGCUUUCCUUAUAGCCAUGUAGUCUUUGAGGACUUUCUAUUCUUUUAAAAUCUUUGUAGUGUUUCUGUAUGAGACGAAUCUUCACUGGUCAAGCAGAUGUAUUGAAAGUUACACUGAGAGAAUAGUGGUAGGGCUUUGUUCUUCAACUGAAAUUCUUUUUAAUUUCUAAAAGGUGCAAACCUAUAGUAUUUCAAUACUCAGACAAACCUGAGUAUUGAAAAAUCCAGUGAACCAUAACAGCAAACAACCCAAGUGUAACUCUGUCAAGCUCCCCUGCUGCUAAAUCACUUGGUGUGAAAUUAAGACAUAAAUACAGAGAACAAACUAGUUCACUAAGCCUAGUGAAGGAUCAAGGGAUGUUCCUGGCUUUAGCAGAUUUUGAGUAUAAGGUAUGAAGAUGUUUUCAAGUUG
rnacentral:lncRNA from 1 species